AGAAUAUUUCAGCUUGUGGCAAAGACUCAAUUCCUUUGACUUAAUCUUAAUUUAAUAGCUUAAGCUUAAUUUUAAGUUGUCCUAUCAAAAUAUCGAUAAGUUCUUUCUAUGGAAAAGUUUUUCCGUAAUGUUUAUAAAAAUUAUAAUUACUUUUUCAUCUUUAAAGGGACAGACCGGCUAUGUUGUAAGAUCUGAGGAUCUUUAUAAACUAAUGUGUGUUCGGGGUGUUCAGCGACAAGACGUUAUUCAGCGUGUUCAACCAGGAAUUCUCUACAUACAAUCGAUCAAUCACACGGAACUCUACAUGCACAAUUUUCUACAUUUAAUCACGUGUUCAAAUCUAUAUAAUUAAUUAAGAUUUUUAAUGUAUAACUAUUUAAAGGCCAAUUUUUAUAAAGAAUAACUUGAUUUUGUUUUAUAUUGCAGAACCUGAGUUUUAUGGUUAAGAAUGUUUUAUAAUUCGACCUAUAUAUAAUAUCUAACCAAAGCCUAUAUAUAAUGUCUAGCCUAGGCCUAAUCAUGUCUAGCCUAAGCCUCGAAAAAUCAUUGCCUAAAUGAGUUUUAUCUUUCAGAACACAAUGGGUUAGUUGCGCCUUUCUAACCUGAAUUUGUGUCUCUUUCUCCAGGUCUAUAAAUCAUCCGUAAUAAAUGUUCAAGGCUCUCUACACAAUGUUGCCAAAUUUUAUUCCUACGGAUGGUUUAUAGAAUAUAUAUAGAUAAUUGUGAUUGUUGUGAUUUCCUCUAAAUAGUUCCGGGUACGUCUCCGUGCAUUAAACCAGGUGAAAAUUGCAAAUAUCUAAAAUGAGCUUAAAUAAUAUCCUGACUUCUCACAAAUCUCUCAACAUAAUUCUCAUGCUAGGCUGGCACGAGUCCCGUUGAUAUAUAACCUCGACUUGCUCUGCUGACUCACGGAGAAGUUCUACUCCUCUUCAACAUGCAGAAUGCCUCCCCUGUGUGUUUGAUUCCUGAGAUGAAUAAGUUCUCUCCUAAUCCCACCUACUAAUCUUGACAUCCUGAGUCUAAGGAAGUCUACAUAUAGGUGAGGAUCAAAGCUCACAACCUUUGAGCUCUGGAACUCGGUCUAAUUAUCUUCAUUUAGACCUCCGUUGUCACGACUCCGACAUCACCGGAAGCUGAGUUAUCCUUGUUUCUCUGGACACUCGGCUGAUACUCCAGAAUAUCCUGCUGGUACUCUAGAGACUCAUCUACCUCUACGUACCAGGCCUCUACAACUUCGGCUUCAUUGUAACCUCCCCUCCGAUACCUCCACGGAAGGGCUCUGAAACUGUUUCCCUGAUCUAGCUCCUCCUCUAGAUUAAAUACAGUUUCCUGUUUGCGACUGCGGUGCAAUUUAAUGAACUAUAGGCUACAAACCUCUGGACAAAUCAACAUUUUCAAGGUUGAGUCCUGUAUAAACUGCCUACCUGAAAUAUAUACAUAAGAUUUAAUCAGUGCAAAUAGAGGUGAGCCGAAGAGAAAGAGUUCAUGCUCGCUCUUAUGUUUGUAGUUAUUACCUGGUUUCUAAAGGUAAAAUUUGAGCACAUAUGUAAGGUAGUUGAACUGAGAAUGCAGUGUUGUGGAAAGUUUCUUUAGGAUUCAUUUGAGACAUAUAAAACU
rnacentral:lncRNA from 1 species